rnacentral:rRNA from 1 species
AUUGAACGCUGGCGGCGUGCUUAACACAUGCAAGUCGAUCGGUAACGCGGGGGCAACCCUGGCGACGAGAGGCGGACAGGUGAGGAACGCUUGGGAAUCUGCCUAUCAGCGGGGGACAACACGGGGAAACUCGUGCUAAUACCGCAUACGCUCUACGGAGGAAAGCCGGGGACCGCAAGGCCUGGCACUGAUAGAUGAGCCCAAGCCGGAUUAGCUAGUUGGCGGGGUAACGGCCCACCAAGGCGACGAUCCGUAGCUGGUCUGAGAGGACGAUCAGCCACACUGGGACUGAGACACGGCCCAGACUCCUACGGGAGGCAGCAGUGGGGAAUAUUGGACAAUGGGGGAAACCCUGGUCCAGCGACGCCGCGUGGGUGAAGAAGGCCUGCGGGUUGUAAAGCCCUUUCGGUAGGGACGAAAGCUCUCGACCUAACACGUCGGGAGGUUGACUUAACCUACAAAAGAAGCACCGGCUAACUCUGUGCCAGCAGCCGCAGUAAUAC